GCAGGUGGUCAGCGUCUCAGAGCUUUGUCCUCCUCCAUGGUCCAUGCAUGAGGUGGAGAUGGUGACAGCUUGUCACUGUGUGGAAGUCAAAAGGGUCACAGUCACAGGAAAACUGAGCCCACAAAUGAAGCCCAAGACCCCCCCCCCCCCCCCCCCCCCCAUAUGGAGCAGAGACAGAUCCUAUCCUCCCCACAGUCCAAGCCGCGCUACAUUAAAAAAUAAAUACAAAUCAAGUGUCAGACAGCAGCCUGAGAAUGCAGGUAUACCACCCACCAUGUCUCCUCCUCCACCUCAGCGUGUGGAUAAUCCACUGCAAGCAACUCCUGGUGACCCUGAUGCGGAUUUAGAAGCCUUUGAAAACCCUAACAACAUUCCUACAGGAGACUUUUCAUCGUUGAAGGACACCGAGAGGGGUCUGUUCACCCCUCUUCAGACUUACAAAGACGUCACCAGAUUCUGCAAGAGAAGAAGGUUGUUGAAGUCUGAUAGGAUGUGGUUUUAUCCUCGAGAACCUUUAGCCUUUGCAGGAGGCGCUCUGCCAGUAGCACAGUUGUUUUUUCAUAGCCCUGUCUUUCUGUGAUGCCCUGUGGGAGUCUGGAGAUGCUCCCUGAAGUGUCCUCAUGGGGAUGACUGUGUUGGGAAGGGGUGCAACGUGUUCCUGUAUAAGUCAGGCUACCACCAGAGGGUACAUCACAUUUUUGAUAUAUCAAAAUGCUGACGGAGGCCUUAUGUUGAGGGCUCUGCGCAAAGGCAGCAAGGAGCAGGGAAGGAGCCACUGUGGAAAGAUGGCUUGCAUGGGAUCCAACCAUUCUACUGCAGCUCAGUGAGGCUCAUCAGGCUGUGUUCCCAGCUAUCCUCACCAGCAAGCGUGGCAUGGACAAGAAGAUGGUGCGUCUCCUGCAGGACCGGACAGAAGGAAAGGAGGCAGAUCCAGGAGAACCAUGUGGGGAGUACCUCCAUCGUCUGGAUCUCUAGACCACACUGCUCAUGUCCAGAGGGAUGGUUGGUGUGUAUGGCCAUACUUUCCAGCCUCCACCUCCUCAGAGAGAGCAUCCAUCAGCUCCUCUCUUGUGCCAUGCCUUUCUGCUGGCAGAGGCUGAAAAUGGGCAGGACUGCAGGAACCAGAUCCUCUCCACUUUUGGCACUGUGCUGAAAAUGGAUUUCACCAAGUAUGUAAACCAAAACACAACGCUACACUAAAAAAAUGGGAUUUAAAAAUACAAUAAAUAAAAAAAUAAAAAGACAGGGAAAAUAAGCCACAUUUGUUGUUCUGUAGAAAGUAGGGAAGAUUAAACUACUAACAUGGGAUUUUUUUUUUACAUCUAAAGCUCUUCUAGGUAGUAAAGAAGCUUUCUGGUGAAGGUCGGAACUCAACUGAAUGGUUCACCAGCAUCGGAAACCAGCACUCACAGAUUGUCUCUUUUGUGCUGACUUGUGAGGAAUCCAAGAAGAAGCUGGAGCCAAUGUGCAGCGGAUUGAUGGAGAGGGACAAUCUGGCUGGUCAACCUGUCCUGAGCAUCCUGUACAUGGACCAUGGAUGCUGUCGUACUCGGAGACCAACAGCAGUGGAAACCUUAUUCCAGCCUUGGAAGGAGAACUUUGGUACAGUAGACUCCCCUAAUGUCGAGUCUACCAUAUCAAAGUGCUAUUUUGUCUACAGUUGAAGGUAGACUAUGUUCACAUUUGAUUUUCUGAAUGCUCACCUUGGGAAUGUGGGGCCAUGGGGGAGUGUUGGUCUAGUGAUUAGAGCAGUGCCAUUGUGCUCUGAGAAGGAUGCAAGUAUCCUGUUUGAUCCUCACUGAGAUAAACCCUUAACCCCACACAGCUUCCCGGACGCCGCACAAUGGCAGCCCACUGCUCCCCUAGGAGAUGGGUUAAAUGCAGAGAGAGAAUUUCCCCAUUGUGGGACAAUGGGGAAAUAUACAGUGAUUUUUUUGGGGGGAAUUUAAGCGUCACCUGUUGCCAUAAUUUCUGAUAAUCAGCUGUUUCUAAAUCACAAAUAAUGAACUGUUUGGUUACUCAAAAUUUCUUGAUGGUCAGAAUUAUAGUGAUUUAAAGUUGUAGGUACGCAUUAUAGGAACACCUGGAAAAAGAACCACUGAAGUCACAAAAGAUGUACAAGGAGAAUCCCUAAAUAGUGUUUGAAAUGUUUUAAUUAUAAAAACUGUUAAUAAAAAGAAAAAGCACUACUAAAUUUAUAAUAAAAAAACAUAAAAAUAUACUUGAAAUUGAGCUAUUAAAAAAUGAUUUAAAUGCAUAAAUUAAAAAAGCAGUGAAGUCAGGAGAUGUUUGCCAGGAAGAAUCUUUAAUAACAUUUAAAAGUAUGCUUGAUUUAGAAGUAUAAAAACCAUUUACAUUAACACAAACUGUGAUACUGUACAAGUCAGAAAAUAUUUAAAGGAAGAACCAUAUAUAUAAAGUAUAAAAACUAUGUGGGUAGAAAAAGUACUAUUGUGUCAAUAAAUAUAUAAAAGAACCAUAAAUAUAUGUUUGAAAGUAUGAAAAAAAAAAAACUUAUGACAACUAUGUAAAAUGACAAAAGUUCUACUAGAAAGGUUGGAGAAAUAUAUAGAAUGAAGAACCAUAAAUAGUAUUUUUAAAUAUGUCUGAACUUGAUCAAUAAAAACUAUAUACAUUAAAUAAACACUGAUAAACUACUACAAACUGAUUGUCCAAAGUCAUGGUGCCGGCGCAUCCACAACAAAGGUAAA